rnacentral:rRNA from 1 species
AUUGAACGCUGGCGGCAUGCCUUACACAUGCAAGUCGAACGGUAACAGGUCUUCGGAUGCUGACGAGUGGCGAACGGGUGAGUAAUACAUCGGAACGUGCCCGAUCGUGGGGGAUAACGAAGCGAAAGCUUUGCUAAUACCGCAUACGAUCUACGGAUGAAAGCAGGGGACCGCAAGGCCUUGCGCGAACGGAGCGGCCGAUGGCAGAUUAGGUAGUUGGUGAGGUAAAGGCUCACCAAGCCAACGAUCUGUAGCUGGUCUGAGAGGACGACCAGCCACACUGGAACUGAGACACGGUCCAGACUCCUACGGGAGGCAGCAGUGGGGAAUUUUGGACAAUGGACGCAAGUCUGAUCCAGCCAUUCCGCGUGCAGGACGAAGGCCUUCGGGUUGUAAACUGCUUUGUACAGAACGAAAAGGUCUCUAUUAAUACUAGGGGCUCAUGACGGUACUGUAAGAAUAAGC